GACUCCCGGUAUGGGAAGUACAUCUUUUAUUUCGUCGUGUAUUUUGUUUUGAUGAUGAUAAGUCACUUAUGCUGUCUGUCAGAAAUGUUUCAAGAGUCUGUUCUUGAAAACGGCACGUUAGGAACACAAACCUAUACACAAUUUUACAUUUGUUUAUGAGACAUUCAGAGAGUUCACGAAAUUACGCACACAAUAAAUCCGCUUUAACAACAUAAUUCAAACGUUAAAUGUGUGCGUGCAUAAUGAUUUAGCUGUCAUUACUUUAACGAAGAAAUUCUGCAAUAUUCACAGAAUGGAUAACACGCAAUAUCUACGUAGCGUUAUUAUGUCACGUGAUCUGUUUGUCACAUGACCAGUAAAUAUCCGACGACUGGGCAUCCUAGCAAAACAAUUAUCUGGUAAAAAUAUCAAUGCAUUUCAAAGUCAUACAUUUUCUUACAGCACUAUUCAACCGUGUCUAGUCAGACAAAACAGCAGAAAUGCGCCUUGAUCAGCAACUUCGUUUCAGGUCUUUGGAGGCUAAUAAAUGCCAAACAAAAGGACAGUGCAGAGGAAGAUGCCUCAAAUGAGCAACAGGAGACAGACCCUCAAGUAAAAACAAAGUUUGAGUCGUCCACACCAGAGCACAGAGAUCCUUUAAAGUGGUUUGGCAUCCUUGUACAACAAAAUCUUAAACAGGCUCAAGCUGCCUUUAAAGAGGUCAUCUCUCUCUCAACAGAGACUGCACCCCUAAAAAUACUGCGAUACUGGCUACAAGGAAAGAAAUGCAGACCCAAAUAAAGGAGAAACAACAGAAGAUAGAGAAGACUCAACAAGAAACGAUAAAGGGAUAAAAGUGACCUUAUUCAUUAAUUCAUUCAUUUCUUCUAUUAAAUCUUUAUGUAUUUAUUUGUACCAUAAAGUGGGCCAUCAUUCCUUCUCCACAGAAUAAACGUAUCUGUUUAAAAUGACUGUUAAAUAACAUAUUUGGAAAUUUAUUUUUUCCUGUAUUUGAUCUUUUGUUGUCUGACCCUCGUUUUCUUGUUUGAUCCAUUUUUUUCUUUUGAUUAUUCUUUUGUAAAGUGACCUUGAGCCUAAGAAAAGCGCUAUAUAAACAAAACAUAUUAUUUUUAUUAAAUGCCAAAUUACCUUUAUGCCAUAUUAACAUAAAAACAAUGUUGUUUUCUUAAUAAAAAAUACUGUUGAUUGAUGA